AGAGUUGAUCCUGGCUUAGGACGAACGCUGGCGGCGUGCUUAACACAUGCAAGUCGAACGGGGAUAAGUUGGAAAGGCUUCGGCCCGGAAGACUUAAUUCGAGUGGCGGACGGGUGAGUAACGCGUGAGCAACCUGUCCCAGACAGGGGGAUAACACUUGGAAACAGGUGCUAAUACCGCAUAAGACCACGGGGUCACAUGGCUCUGGGGUAAAAGGAGCAAUCCGGUUUGGGGUGGGCUCGCGUCCGAUUAGAUAGUUGGUGAGGUAACGGCCCACCAAGUCGACGAUCGGUAGCCGACCUGAGAGGGUGAUCGGCCACAUUGGAACUGAGAGACGGUCCAAACUCCUACGGGAGGCAGCAGUGGGGAAUAUUGGGCAAUGGGCCGAAAGCCUGACCCAGCAACGCCGCGUGAGUGAAGAAGGCCUUCGGGUUGUAAAGCUCUGUUAUAGGGGACGAAGGAAGUGACGGUACCCUAUAAGGAAGCCCCGGCUAACUACGUGCCAGCCGCCGC
rnacentral:rRNA from 1 species